UCUAUAAAGUUUAACUAUCUAUAUAUAUAUAUAAAAAUAUGUUUGCCUCUCUCCAAUGCUGCUACAUCACUAAUUCAUCUCUUCCUACCAUGACAUGUGUCCUCUCAGUUAUUUUUCUUCUUUUAGUUUGUGUUUUUUUUUUGGCUUCACGGUUAUUGAAAGGAAUUUGUAUGUUUGUUAAUUGGGCUGAUGGACCAUUAUCGGAUUCCGAAAAGUUACACGCUUCGUCUUCAAGAAUUGUGAUUUAUAGGGUUCAUCCUCUGCUUCAGCCGUUACUUCGAUAAACUAACCAUAGAGUUUCAGAAGGCUAUGGAAGACGAAUAUUCAUGGCUAAUCCAUGGAGCGAGCUGCUGUUCAUGUCGUUUCUUCUCGAGCUCUCUCUACUUUGCCGUUUUAUCGACGGAGACGAUGCCGCUAGACGCUAGACGUCGUACCGCUGCAGUGGCCAAUUAUCGGAAAAAAAACUCAAAAGAGCUCGAGUCCCGAGUUCGAACAGAUUCGAAUCAGUUUACUCCGCCCUAUUCGAAUUCGCCCAGAUUCAAUUGCAUCCUUCUAUCGAAUCUGUACUUUAUUUCAAAAAGGGUUUGAUUUGCAUUGAAUCUAGGUCUCCUUGUGGUCUUGCAGCUAGGGAUAACUUGAGAGGAUCUAAAAAGGAAUUCAACAAAACUGAAGAUGAUCUCAAGUCUCUUCAAAGUGUUGCUCAGAUCAUUGGAGAAGUCCUUCGACCUUUCUCUCUCUCUAGCUAAUAACCCUAUUUUGCUUCUGUGAGAUUAUUACUCAUUGAAUGUCUUGUUCUUGUGCCCUCAUAGUGAUUGUCAAAGCUAGCAGCGGUCCUCGAUAUGUGGUAGGCUGCCGUAGCAAAGUGGAUAAGGAGAAGCUGAUCUCAGCAACUCGAGUUGUUCUUGAUAUGACAACACUAACAAUUAUGAGAGCCCUUCCCCGAGAAGUAAGAUCCUUGCAUCUGUUCCUCUCCGGCAGCCAUUUUCACCCCUCACAUCCCUUCCAUCAUCCUAGCACAAGAGAAACCAAGAAGAAAAACAACAUCAAUGUCAUACAUAUAUAAAGGAAGAGAAAAAAUUAUGAGUUAUGAGAGCUCAGUCAUUGUAGAGAACUAUAAUUUUCUCCAAUAAUAAAUAGUGGUCAACAGGUCAGUUUUACUUAAUUUUAGUCUGGAACCAUUAGCGGAUAUAGUGGUCAACAUGUCAGUUUUACUUAAUUUUAGACUAGAGAUGUCAUCAUUUUCGUUUUGGAUCAAUACUAUUUAUUUUAUUAUUCCAGAUAUUGUUUGAGCUCUUGGCCUAGGUGGAACUGCCCUAGGAAUGAUAAAAGAAAAAUACUUGGUUUAGGCAAGUAUAUGCUAUUCAAAGAAAUACAUCUUUUUGAUUCCUCCGAGCCAUUUUGAAGCUUGAAGGUUCACUGAGAAUAUGCUUCAGGCUCUUUAUAAGUUGCCCACUUAGGUUUGAUUUUAUUUCUUUCUGUCUUUUCCCCAGGCGUUUACUCAACAUUUGAGUAUAAAUAUGGGUGAUGCUGAAGAAGUAUCACAACACUAUAGAUUGAUGUCAAGACAUACAAGAGAUUGUUUGGGAGUGUCCUUUAGAUGUUACGCCUACAUACCCGUUUCAGGUCAAGAGUAUGUGCAGUUGUCUGAUUGUCUAAUUGAAACGCUUAACAAAGAUGAAGUGUACUGAUUAGCUGUUGCAACUGCAUUUUCACUCAUGAGCAAACUCUGUGGUUACUGAGGAAUUUUUUUAAGGAUAUAUUCCUCCCUGAAACUCAAGCCUCCUGCUACUCAUCAUUAUAGUGCCUUUGAAACCCACACACAAUGAAUGGCCACCUUGAACCUUAUGUUCUCCGACUUGAAAGCUGGUUGUGGUGCCAACACGGUCGAAUCCUGACUUCUUAGGUUCGGUGUGGCCUGUAAUGUGAAGAAAGGGAGAGAGCUCAUAAGGCCGGCAUGCUGUAUCGUCAUCAUUUCAUCAUUAGUUAACUAUAAUAAUGGUCCAGUUUUGGUUGGGUCACAAAAGCUUUGAUGGGUCUCACGUUUGGUGGGUCACUCCCAACUAAAUUUUGUAAAUUAUUUUAUAUUCACAGCAACUUUUGUUUCA